GCCUGUAAGAAAUGAGCUGGAUCUGCAUGUUCCCCACUACCAAGGACCCUGCUACGGCAUCCACAGCUGUGCCUGUCUGAUGCACACUGGACUGACCUUGAUAUCUAUGAGACCUCUGGAAAGUGACUUCACCCAGGGGUCCCCAACCUCUGAAGCAUGGACUAGUACCAGACUGUGGCCUACUAAGAAGCAGACCAUACAGCAGGAGGUAAUGAAUGACUUCACUGGUGUUACUUCUUGGACAUCUUGGCCUUUUAAUUAGAAAUUGUGUGCUGCUAUUUGCUAUGAUCAGUGUUUCUCAAAAGCAAGCUUCUUGGGGGCAGAGAAGCUGAGUGGUCCCAGCACCUGGAAGGAAGCUCCCCUGCCACCAUCCCAAGCUCCUAGGGCAGAGAAGCUGAGCCGGUGCCAGCACCUGGAAGGAAGCUCCCCUUCUGCCAUCCCAAGCUCCUAGGGUUGAGAAGGUGAGCCACGUGGAUGCCAGAAGCACACACACACCCCACUCUGUGGAAAUGAGAAGACAUGUAAACAAGCCUCAAAAAAAGACUUCUGGAUCACCUGCAGCAACCCCCCAAAGGGAAACGAGACGGAACAAUCUGAUACUGAUACUCAACCACCUGGACUCUCUGAACUGGCAACAAAAGAGGAUCUGGGAAAAAUGAAAUCAGAAAUAAUUACUCAGAUAACAGCAAAGAGUUUGCUCGUGGUGCAAGACAUGAUUAAUAAAUCUAGAGAGGACACACAUAAAAAAAAACUUUUGACUUCAUCUCCCUAAUGAGUGUAUAAUUCAGUCUUAUUAUUGUACUGAUUAGUAUUUUUCUGAUUCUAGAGUUGCACACCAUUCCCUGUGCUAUACUGGCUAUUUAUCAUCUUCUUAUGUCUACAUUUUAAUUGGGUUGUCUAUUAAUGAGCUCUAAGAAUUCUUUAUAUAUUCUGCUCAUAGGUUAUAUGCAUG
ensembl:lncRNA